UGACAGCAGCUGGACUCACUACAAACAUUUACUUACUUUACAUUCUUUACAAAAAGCUUCAGUUGCUGAACAUCAGAAUCUUUCAGGUUGUUUUCUCCCAGGUCCAGUUGAGUCAGAUGGGAGGGGUUGGACUUCAGAGCUGAGACCAGAGAAGAACAGCUGAUC